GAAAUAAUUAACUCAAGUUUCUAACUUGAAAAAAAGCAUUAUAGUUUAUAUUUCU
rnacentral:tRNA from 1 species